UAUAGAGCUAUAAUUUUUUCGACAUUUGUUAUGUUUGCACGCAGAUCAAGUUUGUUUCAAAUUUUUUCCACACCCACUUCCGCCCCUGCUAACCAACAAAAAUCGAAUAACAAGCGUAAUUUUAAAGCUAGAGCUGCGAAUUUGUGACUCCUGAAAAUUUGGUUGCGAUCAGAUAAAAAUUGUGUGUUAUUAAAGAAAUACUUUUGUUCCUCGUUGUUUUGGCUGACAAUCUGGUAUACUGUGCCGUCUAUGACAUAUUUUGAAAGUGGUAAUAGUACCAAAUAUACAAUUUGGUAUACUUUUAGUAUUUUCGGUAUAUUUUGAGAAAAAUAGCGUAAUAUUUUGCUAUUAUUAAAAAUGGGUAGCGGGUAUCUCACAGUUGAGCACACUCGACUGUAACCUUCUUACUUGCUUUUAUCUUACACGAUGAGUGAGAGGAAUACAUAAACGUUUCUCUUCACAUGUUCAGCACUAUCUCUUUUGCUGCUUCAUUCGAUUCUAUUGCUGCUCCCUCUGACCACUUUCUGUUGUUGACGUUUAUGGUUAGGUGCAACUUAAUGGCUAAAUGCGCAGUGCUCGGACUCAUAUUCGAAUUCGAACUCUGAGAAUGGCCUUGGCUCUGGAAUUCGAAACGAAUGAAUGGUUACUCUGGAUUUGCUGGGGCAUUGGGGGUGUUUGUAUUUUGAACAAGCAAGUUGGUUGGCUGAGCGAAUUCACAGACCUACACUCUUUCCACCCUUAUCGCGCUAAAGUGUUUAACAAUUUAAAAAGAAAUGUAGAACGCUGUAACAGAGAGCGCACGACUACGCGUACCUUCUGUAGAUAUGCAGUAACCACCAGAACUUACUAGUUUCCGAUCUAACUACUUUCGAAGACAUGUGGCCAGGGAGCUUAGAUAAAUCAAGAAAAUUAAAAUGCACAGAGAAAAAUGGAAAAAUUAGGAAAUUUUUUAAUCUGACAAUUGUGAAGAAUAAAUAUUUGGAUAUAAAAAGGAAAUAAUGUCACAAUCAAGUGUUGUCAAUCAAUCCAUAAUUAAAUAGACUGGGAAGUACCCCUCUCUAGAUUACCAUUAUGGUAUAAAAUAUAACACUACCAAAAUCUGUUACAAUGAGUGCAAUUAAAAUUUCGAAAUAAGUUUUCACUGUAAUAAUAAGAAGACAAGAAGGAAUCAUAGUUUUGAAGUUUUUUUUUAUAUUUGAGCUGCAAAACCGUGGUGUUGUGGUCAGUAGCAGUCCCGGUAUCAUCAUCAACAGUUCUCCCAGCUCCAUUGGCAGAAAUGCGUCGUGUCACUUAGUAAUUUCUGAAAGUAAAGAAUAUAAAGCGUAGUUUUUUCCAACACAACUGUACCUCAUUCACCAUCACCGUUUGCGAUUCUGGUAUGCCCAUCUCAGUCCACACUUUUUGUACAGUUAAACUCUCCUCCCACACCCCUUACUAGGAAUAUCACCAUCGUCUUCUUUGACUCCUUCGCCAUCGCCAUAUCUAUCGCCAUUGGCAUUGCUAUUGCCAUCGCGAGCCAUCGGUAUUGCCCAUUCUCCACUCUGGUCCCCAGCCUUGCACCCUUUCAGCAGCCGCUCGGGUGAUUUAAAAAUUUAAUACCUCGCGGCUAUUAAUGGUGGAAAAUGCUUGCGUAAUAAAACAAAACGCAACAACGCGGACUGGGAGAAAUGGGAAUGAUGGAAUAGGAAUGGGAGUGGGAGUGGGAAUGGGAAUGGAAGUGAAAAUGGCCUGGUAUGGCGUUGGAUUGUUAUAUUGGUGGUGGUCGGUAUGCGCAGGACGCCUGCCCACAUCUUUUCAAAAACUGGAACAGGACAACACAGGACAUGAAGGACAAGGCGACAAAGGAGAAGCGAGAAAAAUCAAAAGAAAUAAAUAUGGCGCGUGUUUUGCCAAAAGAAGAAAUUUUAAUUUAAAAUAUUGAUGAUGACGACAACAAAAGCAACAUCGAAAUCGCCAACUCUGUUGGGAUUGCCUUUCUUAGAAGGGCAACCUCUGCUUCACUUAGAGUGUUGGCGUUUGAAGGAAACAAAAAAAGAAAAGAACAUUUUUUUCUCGUGAUGUAUCUUAAGUUUUAAUGUUGGCCCUAUGGCACCUCUCAUUCUCCGUGUCGUUUCGAUUCCGAAAUGGUAUGGAGUCGACUCAGAAGAACAUACGUACAUAGUGUAAAAGCGUCUCGGACGUUGUCCUAACAACUAGAUGAUGGGACGAUUUGCAAGUAUUCGAAGCAAGUGUUCGAGUCUUGAAUUGACUUUUAUAUUUACUCGUAAAGCUUAGUUUCAAUUGUAACUUCUUAUAAACUCUUUCCGAUAAAGAAAUACAAAGCUACGAAUUCUAUACAUUUAUGUUAACAUAAAUUCAAAAUAAAUUUGUAUACUCUGAAAUAGUCAUAGAAAAAUUGUCAGUAAAUUUAGACAAAAUAAAUUCGAAUAUUUAAAUAAUUAACUAAUAUUUUCAAGAGAAAAUUAUUUGAUGGACAUUAAGUUCGAGUAAGAAGAUCCUGUUAAACUUUAAUAUAAACAAGUAAAAAGGCUGCCAUCGGCUACCGUUUUUUAUAAUAGCAAACAGGCGUGGUAUUAGCAGAAAAAUAUACCGAAUUAAUAAAUUAAAAAAUUCUGAAAUAUAUCAAAACAAUUCAAAAUAUACGAGAGUGUUUAAUAACUUCUAAGUUUUUUUAUUUGAUUGUAAUCAAUUCAUAAAGACGUUAGUCAAUAUCGACUCUACUCUGCAAAUUAUACUUGCAAUUCGUUUUUGUGAACAAAUCAUAAACAAAUUGAAUUUCGUUCACCAAUAAAAUGAGCUGUUAAAAAAUUUUCAACUGUAUCACUUAUAACUUUGUACCUACACGAAAUGUAUAAUAUAACAUUACAAUAUAGUAUAAUAUAUAAAAUGUUAUUAUAAUUAGCAAGUUAAAAAAGGUGCAGUUGAGUGGGGACGACUGUGAGAUACCCUCUACCCAUUUUCAAUAAAAUCAAACUCUAAAAUAUACCUAAUUGAUUUAUUAAAAACACUAUCUACGACUACUAAAUAUACCUAAGAUUAUAUUUGGUAUAUCAAUACAUUCAAACAUUAAAAAAAUACUAUAUAGUACAAAAUAUACCACAUUGUCUACCAAAGCAAUUAAGACCCGAUAACAGCAGGCGUCUUAUUCUUAUACAAUUUUCCAAUUAUCUCUAUCUUUUAUAGUCUGUGGUAUCUACGUAUUUAUACAAACAGACGGACAUUGUUACAUAUACUCCUUAUCUUUAUGGUAUUAAAUUACGAAUUAAUAAUAAUUAAGGUAAAAAGCGAAAUUCUUAUUACUCUAACUUUGGAGUAGUGCAGAGAGUAUCAAAACUAUAAAAUCAAAAGCGGCUUAUACAUUGGUCGAGGUGUGUAUUCAAAGAAUCGUAAGUUGCGUAUAAUUAAAUAUACAGUAAAUACCAUGCCAUUAAAAAUAUUCAAAAUUGUUACCGGAAGCAUUAAAAGCCCCAAAAGUCUAGCUUUAAAGUUGUGGUAGAGAUCCUAAUAAAAAUAAACCUUUGAAAUAAAAGAUUAUUAAACCGCUUAGAUAAGUAUGUUAAAUAAGCUUGCCUUUCAUAAUUUGAAGCUAUUCUUUCUCCCACUUGGUUAUUGCUAGAAAAGUUUAUAACUUAUUUAGAAAAUUUUAUAUGAAAACAAUUUAGCUUUAGGUUUGGGAAAAGAGUUGAAUACAUUUAAUUUGCAUUCAAGUUAUAACAGUGGAAGAAAAAUAGUAACUUAUAGCCUAGGUCAAGAGAGUUCUUAAAUUUUAAAUAGAACUGGACGUUUUUCUUAUUCGCUGAAAAUAGUUGUAAGAUCAACAGAUCAAUGAAAUCGUUGAAAUAUCAUAACUCUCAAUAAACUAAUAAUAUCCAAGGACGAAGCAUAUUUUAUCGUCAUUACUCAUUAUCUGAUGGGAGGUGUAUGCUUAAUAGCAACAAUGGCUGUCGGCAAUUGCUCGCUUCAAAUUGUCAGUGAGGGGAAAAAGAGAAAAUUGCCUUAACCAGCAGCCAAUGAAAACAAUGAAUAUGAAUUGUAGAAAUUUCCUAAGAGUAUUUCUGAAUAACAAGAGAGAAUUUACUUUAUAAAUCGAGAGAGACAAAAAAUCCCAUCAAUUCAGUUUACAAUCAUUUUAAAUAGAGGGCGCUUUGUUUGCAGAACAUUUAUAAUUGAUGGCGCCAUCUAGCAAUAAACAUUGGAAACUACCUAACAUUUUUGGUUUGCUUUAAUUUUAGGCCGUUUUAUUUACUUUCAAGCGUCCACUGUCUUUAGUUUAGAGUUUUAUCCUUUAUCCAAUUAGUUGUCUGCUACCAUUUCACAUGACAGUUAUAAUACAUACAUAUCUAUUCAUCAAUAGUUAUACAAAGUCACUAAAAUUUGAGCUAGAAAGCAUUUUAAUAUUUUUAUAUUGUUCUUAUUUCCUU